GAUGAACGCUGGCGGCGUGCCUAAUACAUGCAAGUCGAGCGAACGGACGAGAAGCUUGCUUCUCUGAUGUUAGCGGCGGACGGGUGAGUAACACGUGGAUAACCUACCUAUAAGACUGGGAUAACUUCGGGAAACCGGAGCUAAUACCGGAUAAUAUUUUGAACCGCAUGGUUCAAAAGUGUAAGACGGUCUUGCUGUCACUUAUAGAUGUAUCCGCGCUGCAUUAGCUAGUUGGUAAGUUAACGGCUUACCAAGGCAACGAUGCAUAGCCGACCUGAGAGGGUGAUCGGCCACACUGGAACUGAGACACGGUCCAGACUCCUACGGGAGGCAGCAGUAGGGAAUCUUCCGCAAUGGGCGAAAGCCUGACGGAGCAACGCCGCGUGAGUGAUGAAGGUCUUCGGAUCGUAAAACUCUGUUAUUAGGGAAGAACAUAUGUGUAAGUAACUGUGCACAUCUUGACGGUACCUAAUCAGAAAGCCACGGCUAACUACGUG
rnacentral:rRNA from 1 species